CUUCUUUUUUUUGUUUUCCUGUACAGAGGUAGAAGGAAAGGACUUCUUCUCCCUUGGUGGCAUAUCAUGGUUAUUGGUAGAUUUCCAUCUACCCAUUGUACCUUCAAGUUCCAGGACACUG